rnacentral:tRNA from 1 species
UGGUAGCGGGGACCGGAUUUGAACCGAUGACCUUCGGGUUAUGAGCCCGACGAGCUACCAGACUGCUCCACCCCGCA